UGCAUGUGGUGGAUGCCUUGGCGAUUACAGGCGAUGAAGGACGUGAUAGCCUGCGAUAAGCUUCGGGGAGCUGGCAAAUAAGCUUUGAUCCGGAGAUUUCCGAAUGGGGAAACCCACCCGCAAGGGUAUUGCACACUGAAUACAUAGGUGUGCAAGGCGAACCAGGGGAACUGAAACAUCUCAGUACCUUGAGGAAAAGACAUCAACCGAGAUUCCGAAAGUAGUGGCGAGCGAAAUCGGAACAGCCUGCGCAUGAUAGCCAUUGACUUAUCAGAACGGAAUGGAAAGUCCGACCAAAGAGGGUGAUAGUCCCGUAUGGAAAAAAGUUGGUGGUGGUACUAGGUGCGGAACAAGUAGGCGGGGCACGUGAAACCUUGUCUGAAUAUGGGGGGACCAAUCCUCCAAGGCUAAAUACUCGUAAUCGACCGAUAGUGAACAAGUACCGUGAGGGAAAGGCGAAAAGAACCCGGAGGGAGUGAAAUAGAUCCUGAAACCGCAUGCAUAC
rnacentral:rRNA from 1 species